AUGGAAGACUCCCACUUAAAUCCUAACUUGUAUGUCUGGCCUUGCAUCCCCACCAUCUCAGGGCCAAUUGAGAACACCAUGCUUGUCAGCAGGAUGGAGGCUGAGCCCUCACCAUCCCCUCAGGCUUUCUUGGGGCUACAGCCUGAUCGGCUCUGAACCUCCCCAUCUGGCUUCCCAUGAUUGUCUUUGCUCCUCCCUCUGCCUCACAAGUCCUGCAGGUGGUUCGUGACCUCUCCAAGAAGAUGGUGUUGGCCUAACGAGAGGGAGGUAGAAGGUGAUGGAAGUGGCAGUGUGGUUUCUAAUCUCCCAUCCCCCACCCCAACCCCUGCCCACACAGAGGGCCAAAAGAAGCAGCAAUGCUGGAAUCAGGGUUGCCUGAGAUAAAUGAACCUUAGGCCCUCUUCCCUACGGAGAAUGAUGACCAUCAGAAAGAUGGAAUGACUUAAGGGGCACCUGUCUACCUGUCUAUGCUACAGUGAAGCACACCAAGGAGGACACCCAACUCUCUGCAGUUGGGCCUGUCCGUCUGAAACAUCCCUUAGGAAACACAGGCACAAACACAGCCCUCCUGAUCUCCAGCAGCAUGGGCAGGUGGCAGUGACAGCAGCGGUGGCUCAGGCCCAGGUCCAGGCCUCCCAGACAUAGCAGUAGCAGCCUUAGCCACCACCCAUCCAGUCCCCUGCAGUAUCCUCCCAGGAUAGGGACAGCAAUC
rnacentral:lncRNA from 1 species